rnacentral:misc_RNA from 1 species
GAAAUGCGAUAAGUAAUGUGAAUUGCAGAAUUCAGUGAAUCAUCGAAUCUUUGAACGCACAUUGCGCUCGCCAGUAUUCUGGCGAGCAUGCCUGUUCGAGCGUCAUUUCAACCAUCAAGCUCUGCUUGCGUUGGGGAUCCGCGGCUGCCCGCGGUCCCUCAAAAACAGUGGCGGGCUCGCUAGUCACACCGAGCGUAGUAACUCCACAUCGCUAUGGUCGUGCGGCGGGUUCUUGCCGUAAAACCCCCAAUUUCUAAGGUUGACCUCGGAUCAGGUAGGAAUACCCGCUGAACUUAAGC